GGCAUAUGGAAGUUCCCAGGCUAGGGGUUGAAUUGGAGCUGCAGCUGCCGGCCUACACCACAGCCACAGCAACAUGGGUUCUGAGCUCUCUCUAUGACUUAGGCCACAGCUCUCAACUCUGGAUCCUUAACCCAGUAAACCAGCUAUGGAACCUGUAUCCUCAUGGAUACUAGUUGGGUUCGUUACCUCUGAGCCAUGAUGAGACCUCCCAGAUGUUUCUUUGAUUGGAGUUGGGCUUAGUUUUUAUGGUUUUCUGAGAGCCAGAGAGAUGGAGGGGCUGUUGAGACCUUAGGGGGAGGGUGUGGGGAAGGCUGCAGGAAGGCUAGAAUAUAGGGUGCUGCGGUGGAAGGUAGGAGAGGCAUUUGGGGUCUGUUUGCCAUGGUGGGGUGGUAUUUGACCAGAAUGCAGAGCCUGCCUGGUGAAACAGACACGUCAUCUUUUAAUCUACCGGGUAGGCUGCCUUUGCCUAUUUGUUUUUUCCCCAGCAUUAUUGAGAUGUAAUUGACAAACAACAGUGUAGGUUCAAGGUGUGCAGUGUGUUGACUGAGCAUACAUACAUAUUGUGAAAGUAUUGUGAAAUGGUGAUCACAGUAAGGUUAGUUAACACAUCCAUCACCUCACAUAAUUACCUUUUUUGUGUUUGUUGAGAACAGUUGAGAUUUACUCUCUGAGCAGCUUUCAAGUACUAACACUACUGUAUUGUUAAACAGUCAGCAUGUACAUUAGAUUCCCCAGAACCUAUUCUUGGAACUGGAAGUUUGACCCCUUUGACCAACAUCUCCCAAUUUCUCCCACUCCCAAUCUCCUCAGUCCCUGGCAACCACCGUUCUAUUCUCUGUUUCUAUAAUUUGAUGUUUUUAGAUUCCACAUAAAGUGAGACCAUGGAGCAUUUGCCUUUCACUGUCUGACUUAUUUCCCUUAGCAUGAUGCUCUCAAGCUCAAUCCAUAUUAUUGCAAAUGGCAGGAUUUUCUUCUUUUUUAUGUUUGACUAAUAGUCCAUUGUGUGUGUCCGUGUAUGUGUGUAUACAUAUGCUACGUUUUCUUUAUCCAUUCAUCCAUAAGUGUGCAUUUAGGUUGCUUCCAUGUCUUGGCUCUUGGCAGUGAACAUUGGGAUAUAGAUAUCUCUUAGAGAUGACAAUUUUAUCUUCUUUGGAUAUAUAUACCCAGGAGUGGGAUUGCUAGAUCAUAUGGUAGUUCUAUUUGUAAGUCUUUGAGGAACCUCCCUACUGUUUUCUGUAGUGGCUGUAUCAAUUUAUAAUCUCAUCAGCAGUACCCAACUGUUUCCUUUUCUCCACAUCCUCACUUGCGCUUAUUAUCUUUUGUCUUUUUCUUGAUAACCAUUCUAACUGGUGUGAGGUGAUAUCUCAUUGUGGUUUUGGUUUGUAUUUCCCUGAUAAUAUGCAUAUGCAUGUUGGCCAUUUGUAAACUUGUAAAUCUUCUUUGGGAAAAUGUCUAUUUAGGUCUUUCGCCUUUUUAAAUUGAGCUUUUUUUUUUUUUAACUAUUGAGUUAUAGGAGGUCUGUAGGUAUUUUGGAUAUUAACCCCUAUUAGACAUGUGGUUUGCAAAUAUUUUCUCCUAUUCUAUAGGUUGCCUUUUUAUUUCUGAUUUUUUUCUUUUGCUGUGCAGAAGCUUUAUAGUUUGAUAUGUCCCACUUAUUUAUUUUUGUUUUUGUUUCUUGUGCUUUUGGUGUCAUACCCAAAAAAUCAUUGCCAAGACCAGUGUUUCUUUUUUUUUUUCUCGUCUUUUAAAAAAUUGAAGUAUAGUUGCUAUAUAUUAUAAGUGUACAAUAUAAUGAUUCACAAUUUUUAAAGAUUGUACUCCAUUUAUAGUUAUUAUAAAAUAUGGGCUAUAUUCUGUGUUGUACAGUGUAUUUUUAUAGUUUAUUUGAUACCUAAUAGUUUGUGCCUCUUACUCCCCUACCCCUAUAUCAUCCCUCCCUGCUAGGGAGUUUGUUCUCUACUGUCAGUCUGCUUCUCUCUCUCCCUCCUUCUUUUUUUUUGGUGGGGGGGAGGGCCGCAGGUGUGGCAUCUGGAAGUUCCCAGGCUAGUGGCUGAAUCAGAGCUGCAGCUGCCAGCCUGCACCACAGCCAUGGAAAGCACUGGAUCUGAGCUGCAUCUGUGACCUACAGUGCAGCUUGUGGCAGUGCUAGAUCCUUAACCUGCUAAAGGAUCGAACCCACAUCCUCACAGAGACAACAUCAGGUUCUUAACUCACUAGGCCAACAAUGGGAACUCCUGAAUCACAUUUUAAAUGCAUAGGAGUAGCUCAGUAUUAAUUCUGUUGUAAAUCCCCCUCCUUUUUUAAAAAAAAUUCUUUUUAAAAAUAAUUUCCGACAAUGAUUUUGUUUCAAUUAUAGAACUAUUUCCCAGAUACAGCUUUCUUUUGAAAAUAAAAGCAGUAUAAAACGGAAGCAGUACAAAGUCAAAGUCCCCUUUGCCUUGCUGUAGAGGAUGACUAGAACUGCUCUUAAUACUUUGAUAAGCGUCCUUGUGUACAUAUAUUAUGUCUGUUUGUGCAUAUCUAGUUCCCUUUCUUCAUAAUCAGAACCAUACCAUAUGGCUUUUCCAAUGUGACUUGCCUCUAUUAACCCUGCAUAAAUAUACAUAUUCCAUUUAUGACCUUCUCACACCUUAUCCCUUUUAGAAAUCUUCUUUUCCCUUAAGGGUCGUUGAGAACAUUCCUUUGUUCAGACCUCUGCUUUCAGGCCUCUGUAUGGUUUGUGUAUGAGUACAUUUCACCUCUGCCCUCCUAGGGCAGAGUGUGAAAACCCUCAGCUGAUGUGGGCAUAAAGAGAAUAGGCUGGAGGAAACCCACACUCCAUCUUCAUGCUGAAUUCAUACCUCUGUAUCUGAGACCUAUAUCAUUUGUAGCUUGUGUGAAAACAGACUUUCCUCAACAGAUUCAUUAUGUGAAGGAGAUGUCAAGGGGGCUCUUUUCAUUUAUUUUAGGAGACUAAUUAUUUGAAAUAACUCAAACUCACUGGCAUGCACCUACGGAUCAUUGUGCUAAUGCUAAUAGUGAACUCUAAUGUAUAUUUUUUUAUUUUUUAUUUUUUUAUGGCCAUACCCACAGCAUAUGGAAGUUCCCAGGCCAGGGAUUGAAUCCAAGCCACAGCUGCAACCUGAGCCACAGCUGAGGGAACACCAUAUUCUUUAACCCACUGAGCUGGGCCGGGGAUUGAACUAGCACCUCUGCAUUAUGCUUAUGCCCAGGGUCCUUUUAGGUCAAACUAAGUAUUUAGACUCGUGAGAUUAAUAUUGGUCACACUUGGCAUCUGAUUGAUGCAGGAGGAUACAGGGCAGCGUCAUGUGUAACAUUGUUGGUCCUCAGGUUGUUGCUCUUCCUUGUCCUCACCUCCAAGAGGCAGUUAAGGUGCAGAGUGAUGAGAUCCACACCAAGCAGGUGUGGGAACCAUCCUGGCUUCGGGGAUAAUAGCUAUUAUAAAAACCCCAUUAGUGUUGCUCCUAGGGUCCCUGCAGGGAACCUGCCCGGUUAUAACCAUUGCACUCCUCCAGGAUCCCCAAGGCUGUGGAUUCCUCAUCAGGUAUUUCAAGUUGACACUGAGAACGCCCAGUCUCCAUGCAGUCUACCCACUGGAGGCAUUUCUGUCAUGAGCAGCAUGGUCUAUUAACAGAGUCAAAUUGCCCCUUUAGAGUCAGAAGAUCAGAGCUUAAAAGUCAACCUAAGGUCAAAUUGCCAUUUGCAAAAGAUGAAAAGGUUGAAGUCACCCUUCACCCACAGCUUCCCUUGAAAAACUCUGCUAUGUGGACUUGCCUCCAACUCACACUGAGUUCCCUAUUUUGAAUUAGUGAGGUCUUUGACAAGGUUUUUGAUAAUGUUUAUAACAAUAUAUGCUAUGUAUAUUAUAUAUAACAUAGUUUAUAUUUAUUUGCAGUAAAAUUUAUGCUUAUCAGUUUUUUUCUUAAGUGUUGUCAUUACCUGGAGUUCCCACUGUGGUGCACUGGGUUAAGAAUCUGACUGCAGCGGCUCAGGUUGCUGUGGAGGUAUGGGUUCAAUCCCUGGCCCUGUGCAAUGGGUUAAAGGACCCAGCAUUGCUACAGGUGCAGCUCAGAUUCAAUCCCUCUCUGGGGAACUGCAUAUGCCAUGGGUGUGGCCAUAAAAGGAAAAAGUAUUGUCAUUACCUUGCAUAAGAAAGUUCACAGCUGCGUCUUCCCAUUCAACCUCAACCUUCACCUUCUAGCCUAGAUUCCAGGCCCUCCUCCCUGGGUCUGGAGUAAGAAUAAGCUCUUACCCUCACUGAGGCCUCUCCUUUUCCCUGAAGCUGCUGACCCUUUCAUUCCUGUGAUGACUCCCAUGAGACACAAUUAGAAUCCGUUUGCCUUUCCAAAUAUCCAUGGAGCCGUCUCUCCCUAUUUGCCCUGGAGGGUUAUAAAAACACCCUCCACCCCACCCUGCCGUGAACCAUCCCUCGAUACAUUCCUACUGACAUAGCAGCUCUGAGGUUCCGCAAUGAAAAUUUAGCUCGACAGUGUGCUUAUUUUAUUAUGAUUUCUUGCGGUGAGGUGUGCUGUGGUUUGGGGAAUAGAUAUUUUGUCUGAGGUGCCUUGUUAUUGACCAGGCAGGACUGACGAUAUUAUUCUGGUGAGAUUGGUUCUGAUUCUCUGCAGAGUCAUUUUGCUUCCCAGAGCCUGCCUCUGUCUCUUGUUAUUUCUCUUUAUGGAGGUGAGAGUUUCCUAGGAGGCUUUUGGAACAGCUCCAUUUGCUUAGCUCCCAGUUUUAGGAGGAGCCUGGGGGUAAUGGUGGUGGUUCCAGCUUUGCUGCUGACCAGCCUUGUGACUGGAAGCGAGUCGUGAGGGAACUGUCACUUCCCCUGAGAGGAGUCUGUGUCUGCCCACUGCUUGCAUUACUGAAACUUGGCCUCUGUCCACCAGUGCCGAAUAGAAACUCAUAGACAGAGUUUUGGGUGAAGAGGAAAAAAAAUAGCUUUUAUUGUCUUGCCAGGCAAAGGGGACCACGGCAGGCUAAUGCCUUAAAGACUGUGCCCUCCCUUGGGGAAAAAUUGCAGGGAGUUCUAUAGUCUAAAAGGAGAAAAACAGGGUGUUGGAUAAGAAUCAGGAUUGCGGAGUUCCCGUUGUGGCUCAGCGGUUAGCAAACCAGACUAGCAUACGUGAGGACUUGGGUUUGAUCCCUGGCGUCGCUCAGUGGGUUAAGAAUCCAGCGCUGCCGUGAGCUGUGGUGUACGUUGCAGAUGCAGUUCCCAUCCUGUGUUGUUGUGUCUGUGGUGAGGCUGGUGGCUACA
rnacentral:lncRNA from 1 species